GAAUUUUUAUAAACUCCUAAACAGAUGGUAUAUGGUUCCAGAAAAACUGGCAAAAAUAUAUGCAGAUCAGAGCCCUUUCUGUUGGCGUUGUGAAGAUGGGAAAGAAGAUUAUCUCCAUAUCUGGUGGCAUUGUAAAGUUUUAAGUUAUAUAUGGAAGGUGGUAUAUAAGCAGAUUUAUAACUCAUGUCAGCUAUAUAUACCCUUCACACCACAAAGUUUUUUGCUACAUCUGGGAUGGCCUUCUAUGUCCUUUGAGAAACGCAUGUUGAUAAUACAUAUCUUAAUGGCAGUAAAGUUAGCUGUGGCUAGAAAUUGGAAAAGUAAAAAAGAAAUACAGUGGAGUGAAAUUAAAACACAGGUUAUAUACCAAUGUAAGAUGGAAAAGGGAAUAAUUUUAGGUAAUUCUGGCCUAUCAUGACCAUAGAGACCCUUGGUGACUAGUUUUUGUUGUAUAUUGCCCUGGGAAGGGGAUACGCUAUUUAAUAGAAAUUCCUGAGAGACCAGGAAAUAUACAAUAAGUGAUACGUGAGUGUACUGGUUAAAUUGCAGACAUAUUGGCCCAGAACCUUUAAUCGAGCCGGAAAAGAGGCUGCUGUAUGUUUGCUCCUCUAUAAUUUUGCGGGGGCGGUCACCCCCAUGUGGAAAGCCACUGCCAUCACAGCGUGGUUAGUUGUGCAGGCCCUUAGCCGCGAGGUGCAAGCAUGUCCGUGGAAAGGCUAGAAAUUAUUAGGGAGUCACUCAUAGCUGUCAGAAGUGUUGAACUUUGAGACAUAUUGACCUAUAUCCUUUCAGAGGCGGAAGAGGUGUUGUGGUUCACUCCUCUAUAAUUUAACCAAAGGGUGGAGAGUUAUUAAACAUGUUUAGGUGGGCUAGAAAUGUAUUUCCUGAAUUGCAGAGAAGAUGCAGAAAGCAGCUAUUAGCUUAUUGUUUUUUAAGAGCCUUGUAAAAAACAAAAAAAUAAAUUAAGAAAGUUAUCUUGUUGAAAAAAAUUGUUUAUAAAAUGAAAAGCUGAAGGAAUGUGUUUACAUGUCUGUGUGUGUGUG